rnacentral:tRNA from 1 species
ACCUCCUUUCUAAGGAUCGAUCGGACAGAUGCCAUGGCUUAGCCUGGCGGAUAUCUUCCAAUCGUUUCACAGAAACAUUGCCGUCGUCCUCAUGUCCCUUCAUCACUGGAGAUUGCCACAGCAUGGUCUGUGGUAUCUGCCUGAGCCGGCUUGGCUGCGCACUGGGGCUUGCCCUGAGGGGUGUUUUGCCGCGGGCACUGAUGGGCCGGUAGCUCAGGUGGUUAGAGCGCACGCCUGAUAAGCGUGAGGUCGCAAGUUCAACUCUUGCUCGGCCCACCAUCUCUCUUUUGUUUUGAGUACCUAUGAGGGGCCUUAGCUCAGCUGGGAGAGCACCUGCUUUGCAAGCAGGGGGUCAUCGGUUCGAUCCCGAUAGGCUCCACCAUUCCUGCAUGCCGUUGGUGUGUGGUUGAGUGGUUGGAAAGGCACUUGGACAAACAGACAUCUCCAGAUGAUGAAGACACCAGAUCCGGCUUUAGGGCCGGUAAGAUGCGGGAGUUAUCUCUCGUACGCUUCUUUGACAUUGUGAAUGGGUUUUUAAUCGAUGCCGUGACGCAUCGUGUGGAUCGACGGCCGGAGUGAUCUGGUGGGUUCGAUGUGCGCGCAUGCGACAUAACAGAUGUCAAAUCUGGCUGAGAUUAUCGUCCGCACCUAGAACAACGCAGGGUUUAUGCAGACCUGAUGUUGAUGGUGUGGAUUCUCAAGCGUGAGGUAAGAGCAUUU